GAUUAGUGAGCAGGGCUGCGUUUUCCUGCUGCCAUCGUUCUGCUGCGCGUUCUCCCUCUUCACUCGGAGAAACCAGUUUUCAACCUUUUCCCACUCGCACUCAUCACAGAGAUGUGGGUCCCGUACGGCCCUGGAAUGUGGAGUGCGGGAGCCCGGAUGCACAGAGUGCAGCAAAGCAAGACAGACGAGACUGGAAAACAAUAAUGGAAGGAAGGAGUCAGGUAUUAGUGAGAAUGGAGAGACGUGUCUCUCCCUCGCGGAGCUGCUUGGCAGGAAGCGCUGCGGGGACAGCAGGACCAGCAGAACAGCAGCCGCGUGUGAGCGGCUCCGACGGAGCAGCGCGGCCCGUCCAAUCACGUCCGCCCCGCGGGCCUGCGGUCGGGCUUCUCCGUACGAGCGAGCUCUAAUUCUCCCGAGCCGAUACGCUGCAGCGCCAUGAGGAAUGCAUUUUGAACCCACGUCUGGGAUGCUGCACUUUCUCCGUUUUCCAGGCCGAAUGAAAGGGACAGGACGCCGCAACAUAUUAGUGACGAGAAAAAAAACUCAGGAAGGAAAAGAGAAGGCCACAAAGAUGAGGAGAAAAGCUUGAGGGUAACAGUGUGUCUUUCAACACGUAGGCCACUGUAUACUGAAAUCAGCGCUUAGCAACAGCUUCCAACUGAGUCCCCGUUGUCAUGGAGACGAGCAAAGGAUGCUGAAAAGUGAGUAUUUACCAGCGAUCCGAACAGUAGUAAAGAAAAACAAUUUGCCAGUGUCACAAACUGUCUUAGUCAUCCACAAAUAGCACAUUUUACUUUA